CUGUGUUCUCUCUCUUCUCUCCGUCUCCGAGAGGAGGGGGGGAAGAGAGAGACAGAGAGAGAGAUGGGUUCUUCGAAUAAACUGCUAGCGGCCUUCAAACCCCCGAAGCGAGAGCUCCUACCCUCCCUCCCCCCCGGUUCCAACCCUAACCCUAAUCUUGCGGGAUCUUCCACGGCGGCGGGAGCGGCGAUGGCGGAGGGGGGAGUUACGGCGGUGGUGGUGGAGGGGGUGGAGGAGGACGAGGUGCUGAGGAACGCGGGGGCGCUGUCUCGGGAGGAGGUGCUGCGCCGGCGGUCGCGGCGGGUGAGGCAGCUGGAGAGCCUCUACCGGCGGCAAUACUGGGCGCUGGUGGAGGAGGUGCGGGUGCGGCACCGGGAUUACUACUGGGAGUUCGGGGUGAGUCCGGUGGAGGAGGAGAGUAGAGGGAGGGGGUCGGAUGAAGGUGGGGUGGGGUGGGGGUUAGGGUUUAGAGAGGGGGAGAGUUAUAAUAAUGGGGGGGUGGAGAGGAAGCGGUGCGCGUUUUCUGGGUGUAAGUCGAAGGCGAUGCCGUUGACGAGAUAUUGUCAUAGCCACAUACUCUCGGAUACCAAGCAGACGUUGUAUAAGCCUUGCAGUUAUGUUAUAAGGAGCCCACAACAUGGGCAAGUUUUUUGUGGGAAGCCAGUUCUGAAAGCUGCCAUGCCCUCGCUCUGCCAUGUGCACUAUCAGAAGAUACAGAGGAAUAUGUCACAAGCUUUCAAAAAAGCAGGCCUCCACGCAUCCUGUUCAAGCAGACCUGCCCCAAAAUUUAAUGUUCUAAUAGCUGAGUGUGUGCGUCAGAUUCAAGCCAGAAGAAGAGAAACAUUGGAUGCUACCACUGAUAACAUUGCACAAGAAGAGAAUGCAGAAGUUGGUUGAUCUUUCUUCCUUGAGAAUAUGAUUCUUGUUUGCAUUGCUGUCCUGACCUUCCAGACAUUAACCUCACCUAUCAGACUGAGCUAGACAUCUGGGUUGACCCACUGCCUGGGAAGAAAACUCACUAAUCUAAAAAAGGUCUGUUAAAGGACAGCUUAACUGCAACCCCUCAGUUGCAUGAUUAUGAUAUAAGAUGAUGGCUGCAUAAAGGUUUCACUACCCAGUGGUCUUGUUGGCAUACUUGGAGUAUACCUCUAAUUUUCUGGUUGGUUGGUUAUUCAGCUUUACAUUCAGGCAGGGCAAUGCAGCCAAGACUUCACUACCAGGCCCCAGAUACAAUAUUAUUACUUGGCAUCCCUUCUAGGGCGACUAUUUGAUACAAAUCCAUCUGCUUGCUGCUGCCGUGCUCCUCUGCUUUCUUCUGUUGUUUGGACUGAUGCAAUCUCAGUCCUAUAUGUUCUGGAUCAAAUGCCAGCGGGAUUUGCCACUCUCAUGUUAAAUCUAAAGCAGAUUGGCUCUGAUGUGAUUCUUUCUGAGAUAAAAUAAAUAUUGAAGCAGCUAUCAUUUGAAUGCAGGGAUCCUUCACACCAUGGCAAAAAACCAGAGCUGGAUUAGAUGUUCUUGUGUUUGUCAAGUUGGAAAAUCUAUGAGCAGAUAUUGCUGCCCAGCCUGAAAAAGAAGAUGCCUACAUGUUUAGCAACUCAUAUGCAGUAGACUGUAAUUUGGGUAUCUGAUGUUGAAAUCAAAGUCGUGUUUACUAGGCUACAUGAAAAUUUUUAUAUGGCAAUUGAAAAAUGGUAGUGUAGGUAGUUUCUUCUUAAAAUUGACUGACCAAUGUUAUGAGGCAUCCUCCUUUUUCAUUUUGUAAAUCUUGCUUCACUCUUUUGACAAACCAUAUAUUGAAAGUCAAAAAUGUGUCGGCAUUAUUUAUUGUUUUAGGAACUUCCGGUAGUUCUUCUUCUCUUGAAUUGCUGAGGAUUGUGGUCAACUGUUGAAUAUCUUGCAAGCCAUUACCUUUUCAGAUCCUUCUUGGUAUCAGAUGUUGAGUUAUUUACUGCCUUGAGGUGGACUUGCAUUAAUUUCUGUGAUCGUCGAGUUACCAUGCCCCGUCCUCAAUUUCUGGAAUAAAUUUACGGGCAUGCGAAUUUCUGAAUGUGUAAAUGUGAGGAUAGGAUGAAUAGACUGGAAUUGAAAAUGUACAACAGCAGUGUCAGAAUCGAAUAGUAUAUGCUAUCAAUCACUUCGGCGACUAUCCUAGGCCCCUUUUAUUGCUCGAGUUGCACAGAUCCUUUCAUUUCCCGGAUUUGCCUUGCAAUAUAUGUGAUGAUUGGGCGUUCUAAGGCCUGUUUGUUGUACCCAUGGUUGCUUUUUCUGCUUCCUCCUCCGGUCUGAGCGGAAGCUGUUGCAGGCGGUCAUCUCAGUGUGUUGGGCAUGAAGUAAUCUCUUGUUACAGGGGAAAACAAAAAAGGGAAAGAGACACUUCAGGAUUUACAGGCUAGCCGUAAGAGGCUGAAGGAAUUUUGGUGGUCAGGAAUUUUGGUCAACAUAAUAUUCUUUCAGGUCAGAAAUUGAAGCAUGAUUAUUAAAUUAUUACUCCAAAAAAGAGAAAUUGUGAAGACACCAGGAUAAGCCGCACACAGAAUGGUUAUACGGCUGCUUUCUCUGAGUCUGUACGAUGCCAGCCAGCGGCUGCCACGAAGAGCGUCGUUGCAGAUCUCUGUCAUGUUGUUGUUUUGCGCGUGCGCGUGUUUUUAGAUGGAUCGAUUUCACUGUAGCACUACUUGGUUUUUCGUUAGUUCAGGUUGGGUUGUCAGGUUAAUCCUAACUUGGUCCAUGUCUUUGACCCAGGAUCCAGUCCCGCAUUCCAGAAAUGAGGUAAAUAACCUUCCACCAUGAAGUCUUCAAACUAUGCGUGACGGUAUGACUUGGUAUAAGAGGUAGCAUUACAAAUCCACUUUUCUAGCAUACAAGUAGAAGUGAGUUGCUUUUUGACAUAAAUCAUGUCUUGCCUGCAUCAGUUCAUAUUGCAUUAUCAGUUUAUUUGAAACCAUAUAUUGGCUACAUCAGUUGAAUACUGCUUGAUAAAUUAAAACUCCAUCUUGCAAGUGUUUUAGUGUCCAAGGAAGUUGACUCAUUUCGACUUCCCUUUUUUUUUUUAAGGCUACCAAUUUUUGCUCAUGUCUUAGGGACCCCGCAUGCAGGCUAAUUGGCUUCUGGCUUCAACAUGUCAGGGCAGCAUGUUUUGUUGUAUUCCUAGAGCUACAUGUACCACUUCCAUUGCUCUGAUUUCCUCCUAAGAGAAUGUCCACCGAUACGACUGCAACAAAUUAAAAUCAUAGGAGUAAUAUCCAUGCAAUAAUAAAGGGUGUUAUAUGAGUCAUGCAUACAUAUAAGACAGUGUAUUAUAUGAAUGGCUGUGAAACAUGCGAUCAACCAUGGUUACCAAUGAUUUUAUAUCUCA